CAUUAUCGGUCUGCUGUUUCAGGGGAAGAACAUAUAUGUUGAAGAUCUGUAUGUGUGUCCUACUUGGUUGCAACAGAAGAACAGGUCUACGGCUCAUCUAAAUGCCAACGCUCAUGGCAAAGACACCAUCAUCUUCCCCCUAUGGGUACCGGGGCAUUUUCAACUGUGUGUAAGUACUGACCAUUUUACAUUUCAUACUCUUAAAGAGUGAAUUGAGCCAGUAGACAAAUACCAAAGACGUGCUUGUAAGGUUAAAAGAAACUGCAAAUGCCUUGGUGUAUGGCUUUUCACUGAAAGCAAAAGCUGUCUUCCAUAGGUUAUGAACGUAGCACGCAAAGAAAUGUACUUACUCGACCCAUUGCUGUCGGCGUCCAAGUCAGGAUUUGGAGGAUACCUGCCAGUCCUAAGGAGUGUAAGCCAGACCAUUUAUCAAGGCCAGUGGACGGAAAAGACGGGCAGGGACUUGAAGGGCUUUCCAAAGCAGCCCUUCGGAAACGACUGUGGCAUUUUCAUGCUGAUGUCUGCCCUCUACUUGGUCUUGGAUGGUCAAUUUGAUUAUUCCGUGCACGAUAUGCCAGUGUUGCGCAGAUGGUGGUGCCUGUUGCUCCUCGAGAACCAUGGCCUAGACAGUCACGGUAAAGUAUUUGCGCACUGGACAAGAGAAUGCCAAGCACUCCUCACUGGAAAACACUCACCCAUCUUCAGGUUGAAGAGGAAAAGGGAUGAAAUUAUAUCGAAGGAAACCCGCUCGGUAAAGGAGAGGGAGCAGUUCAACAGGGCCAGGAAGAUUGUGGAGAGGAUCACUGCAGACCAACUGCGAUCUUUGGUGAAAAACUACUACCAGCGCUGCACCAUCCUCCCUGGAAAGUCUUUCCCCCACCCGUGCAGUCAGGCACGAGUCAGGAGUAUCCAAGAGACCCAGGAGUAUCCAAUCCACCAGCUCUUCAUCCUCUGUGGGCCACACAGGCCAGGAAAAUCUCUCAACGAGUGAGUUUGAUGUAGCCCCAGAUGCAAAUCUGGCCACGAAUCUCACAGCAUUGGCAGAUAUCAGCCAGGAUCUCAUUGCCAUCCCUGCUGAAGAACUGUUUACAUCCCAGCAAACACAAGAGCAGUGUGAUUUGUCAGAGGAGAUAGAUGCCCUGCUGGCUUCUCUUUUAGAUGGUGAAACACAUAUUCCAGCAAACACCGGAUGUGAACACUUUCAGGCCCCGUCUUGAAACCAUCAAUUUUGAACAGUGGGAUGGCCUUUGAAAUCAAGACUGAUCUCAUCCACCUGCUCCUCCUCCUCAUCAUCACCAUUCACCCACUUCUACACAAUCUGCAUCUUGCACAAUUAAUUUUCAGUAUUACUUUUUGCACUUUACAUCCCACUCGUAUGCACAUUGUCUUAUAUCUUAUUUUUAUUAUUUGUAUAUUAUGUUGAUAUGUGCCGAUGCGUGUGUAUUGUAUUUUCUAUUGGCUUUUUUGUACAGAAAGUUUACCUUUAUUUUUUAUUUACUUAUUUCUGUUUCUAUUUAUUUGUAAGUAAAUAAAGACACAAGUUCAAAACAAAGUUCUUCGGUUUGGAUAGAAAAGGUUGUCUUCCAGUAACUCCAGCCGUUUCUGUCUGAGAAUGAGAUGUUAGACAUCUUCUAGUCUGUAUUAAUACCUGGACUUGUAUAUA